UACGUAGGGGGCAAGCGUUGUCCGGAAUUAUUGGGCGUAAAGAGCGCGUAGGCGGUCCGAUAAGUCGGCUGUGAAAGUCCAGGGCUCAACCCUGGGAUGCGGGUGGAUACUGCCGGGCUCGAGUCCGGAAGAGGCGAGUGGAAUUCCCGGUGUAGCGGUGAAAUGCGCAGAUAUCGGGAGGAACACCAAUGGCGAAGGCAGCUCGCUGGGACGUGACUGACGCUGAGACGCGAAAGCGUGGGGAGCAAACAGG
rnacentral:rRNA from 1 species